rnacentral:misc_RNA from 1 species
GAUGAAGAACGUAGCGAAAUGCGAUAAGUAGUGUGAAUUGCAGAAUUCAGUGAAUCAUCGAAUCUUUGAACGCACAUUGCGCCCCUUGGUAUUCCAUGGGGCAUGCCUGUUCGAGCGUCAUUUGUACCUUCAAGCUCUGCUUGGGGUUGGGUGAUUGUCUAUCUUUGUAGACUCGCCUUAAAGUCAUUGGCAGCCGGCAUAUUGGCCUGGGAGCGCAGCACAAGUCGCGCUUCUUGUCAUGAAUGUUGGCGUCCAGUAAGUCUACAUAUUUUGCUCUUGACCUCGGAUCAGGUAGGGAUACCCGCUGAACUUAAGCAUAUCAAUAAGCGGAGGA